GCCCCCGUAGUUUAACGGAUAAAAUGAGGGCUUGCGGAGCCCUUGAUGGAGGUUCGAUUCCUCCCGGGAGCACCA
rnacentral:tRNA from 1 species